UACCUAGACCUAAUACCCCUCCUUUGAAAUUUUCCCUAUUGAAUUACGAGUAUAAAAGUGUGGCAUUGAACCGAUCAAGUUAUUACUGUUUUGGUUUCGGUUGACGACUUUUGAACAAGUUUGCUUUAUUGUUCUCAUCGAAACUCUACGUUUGCGAUUUUAAUCAGUUAUUCUUUGUUGAAGUACCAAUCUACCUCACACAAAUAAAAAAAUGGCUGACAAUGUUGGAAUUGACGAAAUAAAAGACGCCGUCAAGCAAUCCGUCAAAGCGAUGAAAGUUGGCGAGAGCCAAAGCGUUCCAGGAUACGACGGCUACACUGUUACCAGAAUCGAUGAAAAUAAUGUAGAAGUCACGAAAAAAGCUCUUCAAGGGGCCGAUGGUGACGAUUCGGAAGUUUCGAAGAAAGGAUUUAGUCUCAACCUGGGAAUAUUCUCUAUUAGCUGGUGAUCGUCGAUGUGCGUUUUUGAUUGAUUUUUAUACUCAUACUCGUAUUAAUAGUAGUCUGUAGCGUAUAGUUUUGGUAAACUUAUUCGACGAGUAUUUAUUCUACUACAUAUAAAUUACAUUACCUGUUAAUCUGUGAGAUGUUCAGUGUAAUGUUUGUUUGUCAAAACGUAUUCUGAUCUACUGCAAUAAAAUCUUAUCAGAAUAUUA